GCAGACGAUGUCUGUACAGCAACUCCACACUAUUUUGACUUCAGACUAUAUGGCAUCAAGCUAUCUUUGUUUUCACUAAGUUGUUUCUAUUUUCAUAGAUUUAACUUCAACCACAGCCCAUCUUCAGUUACUACGGUUCCUCCUGCUUCGCUGCUGAGACAUUCAUGUUGAGCAUCGACAAGAAGAUCGUUAACGACCGCAUCACAACCUUCACCUCCGCCAUCUGCCUGAAGUUUGGCAGUUAUUACUGCUUUAACAUACACUACCCUGUGGAACUACGAUCAACACUGGAGUUCCUCCAAUGGUGUUUCUUUUCCUUAAAUCCUGAGAGAGGCACCAAGGUUGAAUCCAAGAAGAAAAAAGUGUUCUCAGUCAAUCCCAGAGUCCUCACUCUCAUCUCAGACAUUGCUGACUAUGAGUGGAUCUAGUCCUACCCCUCUUGUUUUGGAUGAUAAAGGUGUGUUACAUAUUCUACAGAUGUUUUUGUUGUUGAAACAAUUGUUACAUUUCUGAAUGUCAGCGAAAAGUUUUUAACAAUUUGAAGUUUUACUAAAUCAGAUUUGUUAAAGUACCGGUUCAAUUUUUUUCGCUUCACUGUUAGUUCCAGGAGUUUCUUUGAUUUUAAUUUGCCUACUUUUUAAAGAUUUGUGCAUUCUAAUGAUGUAAAAAGGUACACUGCAUACACAUCGCUAGUUAGCAUUUUGUCAAU